GGACUACCGGGGUAUCUAAUCCCGUUUGCUACCCUAGCUUUCGCGCCUCAGCGUCAGAAAAGGUCCAGCAGCCCGCUUUCGCCUCCGGCGUUCCUUCCAAUAUCAACGCAUUUCACCGCUCCACUGGAAGUUCCAGCUGCCCCUACCUCCCUCCAGCCGACCAGUAUCCAAGGCACUUUUCCGGUUAAGCCGAAAGAUUUCACCCCAGACUUGGUCGACCGCCUACGCGCCCUUUAAGCCCAGUGAUUCCGAACAACGUUCGCACGGUUCGUCUUACCGCGGCUGCUGGCAC
rnacentral:rRNA from 1 species